ensembl:lncRNA
GAAAAAACAAAGACGGCGAAUGUUUGAAGGACUUCUAUGAAGAAUGUGUGGAAAUGAGCGGAACGCUAAAGCGGGACGCGAGCAAACAUCACUUGUUCAAGGCAAACAUCCUCGAGAGGUGUCGGCUCCAGAAAAGGCUCUCGUCGUGCUCCAAAGCUCCGGGCACAGACGUGGAGCAGAGUGCAGAGAGUGAUACCAUCUUGCAGUGUAAUGGAGAGCUGGAAGUAGGAGGAGACAGGUCCAGACAGGGUACGGCUGAAGAGGAGACUGAUGAAGAGCGAGAUCUGCAGACCAAGCUCGACGCGAUGAUGGAGGUUCUGAGCACGUCUGAUGAAGUUGAGCAGCUCGUUCUGAGAAACACUGACCUGACAGACGAGCUGCUCCUCAGCUUGGCCUCAGCUCUGAAGAUGAGCAACUCUGAGGUCACGCAGCUUAACCUGAACCUGAACCUCCUCGGCCCGUACGGAGCCCACAUCCUGCUGGACAUUCUGAGAGCUAAGCCACGACUCCAAGGCUUGCACUUAUUUGGAAACAAACUGCGUGACCAUGGAGUGAUGACACUAUUGAAUGGAAUAGCUGAGCUGCAGGCUCAAACAGCCAGAGCUGCUGCUUCCAUCCACCAAGCAACUCUCCUCCCAACAGAGCCAAACGUGCUACUUCAGCUCCCCACAGGGUGGCGCUCUUUCAGAGUAUUUACACUCAUGGAGCUGGACGUUGGUGGAAACGGCCUUAGCGGCAAAGGGUUGAAGGUUCUAGCGUUAUACAUGAAGUCCCACUCGUACCUCCAGUACCUGGGGCUGGCGCAGACUGGCGAUGCUGAUCUGUCAGCGUGGAGAGAGCUUUUUGAAAGCUUAAAAGGAAACAGUUCAUUGAGUCAGAUCAUCCUGGAUGAGAACAACCUGGGAGACCCCGGGGUCAGACUUCUGGCCGACAUGUUGAAGGAGAAUGUGAGUUUGCGAAAGGUUGAUCUAGACCGGAAUGGGAUUAGCGACGUGGGAGGGAAUGACAUCAUGGAAGCGCUUCUUUUUAGGACGCAUGUCACUUUGAGACACAUUAGCUUACAGGAGAACAACAUCAGUCAGGGACUAAUGAGCAGGAUUCAAGAGCAAGUGAAAUGUAAAUGAAUAGCUGUGGGGGGGGAAAAACCCCUGUGUAUCCAUAUGUGUGUUUUUUGUGUUUGGAGAGUAAAGCUCUCAGUCACACCUACACACUAAGAUGUCAUCUUUUCCGACCGUGUGGGCUCCUUUUGACAAAUGCAGCAUCAGGCAGUGUAGGUGGGUUGUUUGCUUUAUGGCUUGUGCUGCAGUCAGGAUGUGAUUCAAAGUGAAACAUAUGAGCUGAACCCUCUUCUUUUGUAGCAAUUUUACAUCUUCACCUUGACAUUUUCAAUCUUGUUUUGCUUCAUCCCACCAUUGGUGCCGCUCAUGACUCCACACCCACUUCGCUAAAGCCAACAUUAGCACAAGACUUUCUGACCCCUCUGAUAAAAAGAAACCACAAUGAUUCAUUCCUCCCACAGCCUUCGCUGAUGGAAGACGUACCCACGACUCCCUCUCUCUUCCUUUACUGAACAUAAAAGAAGUUGCCAUCAUCAUCAAAUCACCC